CACGUAGGGGGCAAGCGUUGUCCGGAUUUAUUGGGCGUAAAGAGCUCGUAGGCGGUUCGGUAAGUCGGGUGUGAAACCUCCAGGCUCAACCUGGAGACGCCACCCGAUACUGCUGUGACUAGAGUCCGGUAGGGGAGCGUGGAAUUCCUGGUGUAGCGGUGAAAUGCGCAGAUAUCAGGAGGAACACCGGUGGCGAAGGCGGAUCUCUGGGCCUUACCUGACGCUCAGGCGCGAAAGCUAGGGGAGCGAACUGG
rnacentral:rRNA from 1 species